rnacentral:rRNA from 1 species
AGCGAACGCUGGCGGCAGGCCUAAUACAUGCAAGUCGAACGGCCCUUCGGGGCAGUGGCGGACGGGUGAGUAACACGUGGGAACGUGCCCUUUGGUACGGAACGACUGAGGGAAACUUCAGCUAAUACCGUAUGAGCCCUACGGGGGAAAGAUUUAUCGCCAUUGGAGCGGCCCGCGUUGGAUUAGCGAGUUGGUGGGGUAAAGGCCCACCAAGGCUACAAUCCAUAGCUGGUCUGAGAGGAUGAUCAGACACACUGGGCCUGAGACACGGCCCAGACUCCUACGGGAGGCAGCAGUAGGGAAUCUUGCGCAAUGGGCGAAAGCCUGACGCAGCCAUGCCGCGUGAAUGAUGAAGGUCUUAGGAUUGUAAAAUUCUUUCACCGGGGAAGAUAAUGACGGUACCCGGAGAGGAAGCCCCGGCUAACUUCGUGCCAGCCGCCGCCGUAAUAC